CACAUGUUCCUCUCAAACGAAAAUAAUUUUUUUUCCGUCUCGCGAGUGUCAGUGGCUACACGUGUUUCAGGAAAACAAUUAGUUUUGGUGUAAUUACUAGUGUAAUCUUUUACAGAAAACCAAUUUUAAGCUAAAUUAUUACUAAAACAAGGGUGGUGGUACAUAAGUUUAUUUAUUCUCGGUAUUUAAAUUUGCUUAAAUUGCAGCUACAAAAUUAUUUAUUUUUAUAACCACACUGUGUAAAAGCUGCGCACGUGACAUUGGCGGAAUAGUGUGCCCUCAGUGGCGAAAAAACGCAAGUUCAUCGCCAUAAACCAAAGAAGAAGAAGAAGAAGUUCCUCUCAAACCGUGGUUUUUCAAACUGAAGCUGGAUAAGGCAGGGACUAGUAGCCUCAUUCGUAUGCGACUGGGUCAUGUUUGCCUCCCCUUUCAUUUGG